GCGUGUGUGAAGAAGGCCUGCGGGUUGUAAAGCACUUUUGUCAGGGAAGAAAAGCGUCGUGCUAAUAUCAUGGCGUCUUGACGUAACCUGAAGAAUAAGCACCGGCUAACUCUGUGCCAGCAGCCGCGGUAAUACAGAGGGUGCAAGCGUUAAUCGGAAUUACUGGGCGUAAAGCGUGUGUAGGUGGUUACUUGAGUCGGAUGUGAAAGCCCCGGGCUUAACCUGGGAAUUGCAUUCGAUACUGGGUGACUAGAGUAUGGUAGAGGGUAGCGGAAUUCCCGGUGUAGCGGUGAAAUGCGU
rnacentral:rRNA from 1 species